rnacentral:rRNA from 1 species
AGAACGAACGCUGGCGGCGUGCUUAACACAUGCAAGUCGUACGAGAAACCGGAACUUCGGUUCCGGGAGUAAAGUGGCGCACGGGUGAGUAACGCGUAGGUAAUCUACCCUUGGGUUUGGAAUAACCCGCCGAAAGGCGUGCUAAUACCGGAUAAAAUCUUUCGGAGGGAUCUGAAAGAUCAAAGGUGGCCUCUCCAUGGAUGCUACCGCCUGAGGAUGAGCCUGCGUCCCAUUAGCUUGUUGGUAGGGUAAUGGCCUACCAAGGCUACGAUGGGUAGCUGGUCUGAGAGGAUGAUCAGUCACACUGGAACUGAAACACGGUCCAGACUCCUACGGGAGGCAGCAGUGAGGAAUAUUGCGCAAUGGGGGAAACCCUGACGCAGCGACGCCGCGUGGGCGAAGAAGGCCUUUGGGUCGUAAAGCCCUGUCUAGAGGGAAGAAAUUCUCAAUGGAAUAAUACCCAUUGAGAUUGACGGUACCUCUGGAGGAAGCACCGGCUAACUCCGUGCCAGCAGCCGCGGUAAUACGGAGGGUGCGAGCGUUGUUCGGAAUUACUGGGCGUAAAGCGGGUGUAGGCGGUUUGUUAAGUCAGAUGUGAAAGCCCACGGCUCAACCGUGGAAGUGCAUCUGAAACUGGCAGACUUGAGUACCGGAGAGGGAAGUGGAAUUCCUGGUGUAGGGGUGAAAUCCGUAGAUAUCAGGAGGAACACCGGUGGCGAAGGCGACUUCCUGGACGGAUACUGACGCUGAGAUCCGAAAGCGUGGGGAGCAAACAGGAUUAGAUACCCUGG